GAAAUACCUGAUGAAGUUGUUGCUGGUUCUCUAGGGAGCAUGUGCACACUUUGUCAUGUUUUUAUAUCUUCACCUGUGCAUCUUUUGUAGACUUGGAUUGAUUCCAGGCCUAUGUAUAUCUUAUCUACUCCAGUAUAGAAUGUAUAAUAAGACAAUGGCCUUUUGUGCCUUUAUUUUUAUACAACUUUCAGCAAUGGAUCUCUAGGCUCU
rnacentral:misc_RNA from 1 species